UUGACAUUGCCAUCAGUUUCAAGCCUCAGAAAAGAGUACGUUGCAUUGUAAUUUAUUUUACUGAGUUGUUGAAUCCCAUCAACCUGUGGUUUUGGCGCUGGCGAUUCGAAUAUUUCAAAGAUAAGGUUCCAAGCUAUUGGAGUAGGCUCCCACGUCGAAGGUUGGGUGUUAAACCUUACAGUACUGCCAAAAUUCCCCGGCCAACCAUUGUAGCGAACUUGUUGGCCAGCGUUGUUUAGAUACAAGAGGAGGCCAUCAUCUCCAAGCACUAAGCUGUACUUUCCAUCGGAGCCAUCAACAUCAGAAGUUCGACUGACAAGCUUGUUUACGCCACUCUCGCGAAGGGACUGCCCAACUAGUAACGAAUCAACUGGAUAAUCAAAGCUUUGCCAAAUGAACUUUCCCUUUGUAUCAUACAGCACAAGGUUGCCAUUCUGGAGUAAUUUGAUGCCCGUGACACCCUUGUUAGCAGUGUUGGUUUGCCACACUAGGCUGCCGUCAGAGUCGGCUAGGACCAGGUUUCCAUCCCGGCCGAAAGAAAGGGUGGCGUUUUCUUUCACGGGGUGGUUGCGGUUGGCAUCCCAAACCCACCGCAUUAGGCCCUCGUCAUCUGGGAUGCCAACACGAAUGCCAAGCACGAAAGAAGCUGGGGUGGUGUUGUAGAAACACAGUCUGAAGGGGAAUGUGUAGAAAUCAUAGACAUCAUUGGUUAUGAUGCGAUAAGUUGCCCCAUAUUCAGCUGUGGGUACGAAAUUUUGGAAUUCUCCCAGUGGACCUGUGUUGACAAUUUUGAAGGUAUUGUUUGUUGGCACUUGAGCUCUGGUGCUAAUGGCCAAGAAACAGAGGAGGAGGAGAAUGCUAAGACAGGGUGAAAAUGGAAAGGUACGACGAGCCAUUGGAAUUCUUUUUGUGCAAUAAGGAAUAAAGGGCAAGCUAAUCAGUUGGAAAUGGAAUGAGAGAUAUGAAGUGGGUUGUAACCAUUUGGUAUUUAUAGAUUUUUUUUAUUGGCUUUUCUCAGGGAGUUGGUUUGUGGAUAGGAAAAUCAACUCGACGGUUUUUCUAGUUUUUCUGCAUACAAUUGUUGAAAUUUGAAAACUGAUUAAAAAAAUAUUGAAAUUUGAAAUUUGAAUUUCAACGUCAAAGUUGGUAACCUGCAAACAAGAUUGAGCAUCCAUCUAGUAACAUAGUAUUAUAUAAUUUUGUUCUAUGUCGUAGUGGUUGUCAAAUGAUUAUAUAAUGUACAACACAAUUUUUUAUAAGGGAAAACGAAACAAAUAAUCCCUUACAUAUUACUUAUUUAACCAUUCACUUACAUAAAAAUGCAAAUUCAUACUUUAAAUAUAUAAGGGAUAAUUUCAGAAACCUCCCCUGAGGUUUCUAAUAAUUUCACAAAGCUCCCCUUAAUAUUUCAAAAUUACACAUACCUCCCCUAUUGCUGUAAAAGUACUCUACUACCCCUAUAUAGGAUACUUAAUGACUUUUUCUUUUUGGAAAUUUCAGAAAUUUCAAGAAAAACUAAAAUUGACUUAUCUCUCUCUCUCUCUCUCUCUCUCUCUCUCUCUCUCUCUCUCUCUCUCUCUCUCUCUCUCUCUCUCUUUUCUACCUUAAUGUGUCUUCCAUUUCCUUUUUUGCUAAAUUCCUACCACUCAUUCCUCUCUACCUAAUAUUUUUCCUCCAAUUCAUGACCAAAUUCUAUCUAUUAUCCCUUGCCCAUAUUUAUCCCCCUCAUUGCCUUCUUCUUCUUCUUCUUCUAUCUCUAUUCAAUCUCUUUUUUGCAAAUAUGAUCAAGUUCAUCCUUUUUAUCCUUUUAAUUCUAAGUGUAAUGGGUUUGAUUUUUUUGAGUCUAUUUAUUUUAUCCAAUGUUGGUUGAUUAUGGGUGAUAAAACUUAGUGAUGUCAAAAGUCAAGAAUUUGAGGGAUGGAUGUGCUUUAGAAAUGGGUUGUUGAAAAAAAAAAGAGGCUGCAAAAAGAGAAAGACGAAAGAUCUGUGCUAUUGAUUGUGGAUGAAGUGUUAGUUUUGGGUAAAAGUUUGAGAUUGAGUUUUAUCCAAUUUAGCACCAAGUGACGGAUUUAAUUAAAUUGUGUAGUAAAUGUAGGGGUUGGGGUUAUUGGACAUAAAUUAGGUUAUAGUGUUUUGAGUGCUAGAAUUAUUGAAAUUUAUUUUGAUUUAAAUUGGGGUGUUUGCUUGGCUUUUGGGGUGGAGUUGUUUGGAAGAAGGCAAUCAUCAUAGUUGAAUUUUUUUCCUAACUUUUAUUUUUGGUAGAAAGAGUUUGUUGGCUUUGGUGUUGGAAGAAAAGCAAUCAACAAAGCUCUUUUAUUUUUCCUUUUUAUCUUUUUGACAAAAAGGAUAGUUUAGGAUAUUUGAAGGAAUUGGUAGCCUAUUGGACCUAUUUUGAAGCAUAAAUAGUGAAAGCAAGGGAGGUGUGUGUAAUUUUUGAAACCUAAGGGGAGCUUCUUGAAAUUGUUAGAGACCUCAAGGGAGGUUUCUGAAAUUAUCCCAAUAUAUAAAUUGCAUCAUGUUUGUCUGAAAAUUCAUUUUAGGAGAUUUUUUUUUUACCUGAAAACGCCAUGUGGCUACCAAAUGAUAAUAUUUCAAAGAUAAAAAAGACAUUACAUACUCAUGAUUUAUCCAUUUUUUUUCUUUUUUUUCCUCCUCUGUUUUUGCUUCACCAACAUUCAAACAGCAAAUCCUAGAUCCGCCACCAUAGUCCGCAAUUUCCAGAUAACAAACACUAUCAAAUAUUGUUUAAUAUCCAGAAAUCUCAGUUUUUAUUAUAGUGUCAUUUUUCUUUCACAAACAUCUUAUUCUACUUCUUUUUUAUUUCCUUAAGUUCCAAUAACUACUAACAUUGUAAAACACAAAUUUAAACAUACCAAAAAAAAAUAUCACUAAAAAAAUGAGAUUUUUAUGAAUUUUUUGUUGUACUUUUUGUUUUUCUAUUAUAUUAUACUUUUUUAAUAUGUUGAAUUUUGUGUUUUACCCUUUAGUAGUCAUUGAAACUUUAGGAAAUAAAAUAAAAUAUUUGUAAAGGAGGAAUGACAAAAUAAUUAAAGAUGUGACAUACGAUAAGAGAGGUAGGAUACAGUGGGUCAUAAUAUGCAAAAAAAUGGCAAGUAUUAAGCUACUAAAAAUAAAUGGUAGAAAGAGAAAGUCCACUUUUGGAAGUUUGAAGUCAAUAUAGCAGCUGAGUCGGAAAAAAAAAAAAAAAAAGUCAAUAUAGCAGCCUGUAGAUGUGCUGUAAUCCCCUUAGAACCGGGCUCCGUGUCGUCUUCACCCUUCACUAAUUAGCAACUUGGGCACAUUGCAGACAAAUCUUUCCUCUUUGCCUUUGGGGUUAGAAGAUGGGAAAACACGUCUGCUUCUUCUAUACUUCUGGGCUGUAACGCAGCAGCAUUUAGCAACUGUAAUGAAGUUAAUAAAGUUUAACAAAAGGAUAACAUCAAGGUUUUAGACAAAUUAUCCUAGAUUCAAACCUUCCAGUUGCCUUAACCAUAAAGGACUUUUACAUCUUUGGCUCCCGGUUUGAGUGCGCUAGGCUCAAAGAUUGGCGAAGAACGUUUGGCACGGUUAAAUUGAAAACCAGCAUUAAAUGCUGACAGUCCAUUUUGUAUCCAUUCCAUUUUUUUUUGUUGGAUCCAUUUUGGUUCGCUUUUGCAUGGGUGCAAUCUGUAGCUAUAGAUGCUGAUGCAGAUCAGCAGAUGGAUGCUUCCAGUUCCAUAUUGGAUGAAUUGUGAUCAAAGUAUUAAUAUAUCCUUAUGGCUUUGUUUCAUGUUUACCUGCUUGGCAAUGAGAAAAGCCAUGCACGGCUUUCUUUAUUUGUUGAGAGAUUGAUCACAUCAAAACCAAGAGAUUGAUCACCUCAAACCGCGCAUGAUUUUUAAUUUAUCAAGUCAGUCAGGAAUUGUGUGGUAGCUUUGUGGGCUGGGAAAGUGGGAAUGCGCCAGAAUUUGAAGAUUGGUUGUGGUCCUGUGGAGUGGACCUGCGCGCAUCGCUAGCUUUGAGUGAUUGGAAAAGGCGGGCGAAUGGAUAAAUAUUGAAUACAUGCAUGCAUGCUAUAAAGUCAUUAGCAAUCAAUGUCAAAUAGUCCUUGCAGAAGACUUGUGGGUUCCUCUCUGAUGUCUUGGACCAUUUCGAUAUGUGUUCUUUGAACAUAAUUGUGUGCUUAUCAUUAAUGGCAUGUAUAAUCUUUCUUUCCUGUCUCUUUUUGUUCUGCGCGCAAGAAUGAUCAACGUCGACAAGUUUGCUUGCGGUUGGUUGUUAGAUGCACGAUUUUGAUUUACUUAUUUAUUUUUGGUAAAUAAAAGUUUGAUUUUAAAGGAGAGGAACAUAGUUCAGGCUAAGGCUCUGUUUGGUAUGAUGUAAAGUAUUUUCCUUAAGAAAAUAUUUUCCAUGGAAGUUAUUUUCUGGGAAAAUAUUCACAUUUUUCAAUAUUUUCUGAUGUUUGGUUGAAAUUUUUAACUACAUUUUUAUUAUCAAAAUUCAACUCCUUCCGCCGCCCGCUUUUCUCUUUCAUCACUGGAAACCGAUCUUCCAAGUUCCUAUCACUAAAAAUAGCAGAACCGCUCAAAAUGGAAGAAUCCAGGUCAAGCAUAAGGACAAUUCAUUGACUCGUAAUUAUUGGCGCCAUAAAAGACAUUACCAAGCUAGACAUAUCAAGACCAUGAAAUGACCGGUGAUUAAGGUCAAUCAAUGAAAGUGAAAGAACAGGCAUAAAUAUCUUCUCAAGUUGAAGAAAUAGGCUCUGUUCUUUUUCGUAUGAUUAGUGCUCUUAUUGACUCGUAUAUGAAAUUUGGUUUAAGGAUCAUAUACCAGCGAUCAAACCACAACCUCAAAGGCAUUAAAACCAAGACAAAUUUGAGCUAAAGAUAUGUAAUUUUGAUUAAGAAAACACUGCAAAGAAAAUUAAAAUGACUGAAGAAAGGCAAUGAGAAUUGAUAAUAAUCCAAAUUGUUAACAAAUUCGUAGUGUUUGCGUCACCGGUAAAUUCAUCAGCAUCAAAGACACGAUGUCAAAGAGAUCGGAGUCAGUAGGGUGAGGCCUUUUUUUUAUUUUGAAUAUACUACAAGCUUUGAAAGUUUAUCAAAUACCUUUAAUAAGCGGGAUGCAUGCAUUUAUAAAAACAAUUUCGGUAAGUCCGGAAGGGAAGUUAUUUUCCACAAGAUAAGCAAAAAUCUUUUACACAGUAAAAUAUUUUCAUUAGUUUUUGUGCAACCAAACACGGAAAAUUAGGAAAAUAUUUUCACUUGAAACAAAUGGACCCGAAAUGAUACUCAUAUACAAUUUUUGUUUAAAACCUUUUUGGAUGAAUCAAUGGGUAUGAAAAGCCGAAUCUGAGGGUUUCAUCAUUAGCUAUUUUGCUAGUUAUUCAACUUGAUUAUCCCUUUAUCCUAAUUUUUUUAUGAAACAAAAUCAAAACAGAAGCAAAAAAAAAUUAGUAAAUAAAUUAAAGGGACACGUAUCUCUCUCACCACCUUCUGUUCCCCUUCCCUUUGUCCCCUCAAAAUCGCCUCAAAGCUAUGUACCUAGUCCGUCUCUAUAUGGGUUAAGCCGGCUUCACUUUAAAUGGAUUUGUGGCCACACAAGUUUCAUUUCAUUCCAUUUCGGAAUAAAAUGAUCUUUUUUAACUUUUGUUAUAGAACCAUAUUUUAAUGCAAUCGGAUCAUAUCUAAUCUUUAAUUAUAUUAUCUUUCCAGCUAAAGGAUAAACUUGUGAGAAAUAGAAUUUGUGAGAGGACUCGUCGUUUAAUUAAAUUUGGCAAGACCAACUUGUGCAGUGAUAUUUGGGAGGAUGAUCCAAGAAAGAGAAUAUAUUAUUAAAGAUAUUUCUAUGAAAGAUACGUUAGGAGAGGCAAGUGUUACCUUUACACAAAAUGAAGUCCCAGAUUUUAAAAAAUUGCUCAGCAAAAACGAACUAAAAUAUUCAUAAACAUGCAAGAUAAUGUAAGUUUGCAGAAAAUUAUAAAGGAAAAGAUGUUUUUUUGUCAGCUUUAAUUGAGAAAAAUAAGAAUAUCAUAUGUAGGAAGAGCUACAAUGCUCGAUUCUAUUAGACAAGCAUUAUUGAUCUAGAAAAUGCUGGACAAGACAUAAAAGUAGGCAUGGGUGCAUUCCGGCUCAAUCUAUCAAAAGGGCCCUCACAGAACAAGGAAAGAAAAAGCAAAAUACCAAUCUGGGCAGCUUGGAUUUAUUGCAAACAGGAUACAAGGCUUACGAUCAAACCAGAGGAGCCAUAAUCAAUACAAUAUUGCAGAAGCUCAACACGAAGCUUCUUUACUCGGUGCAUAAAACUCUCAAAUCAUACUUAAUGCUAUGCUCACAAUUACCCAAACCAAGUUUUAACUUUUAACAGUUUUAUUUUUUUUUUCCUCUUAAGUUAAGGAUUUCCACAAAAUCAAUACUUGACAUAUGCACUAGUGGUGUUGACAUCUUUGGCGAGAGUCAAAAGCACCGGCAUAAGCAAGCACUUCGAAGUGUCUUGCUUGUAGACAAAUCCCUUGCAAUUGCAAUCAUUGGUGCACUUGUCUCUGCAUGCUCCAAAUUCCAUUUCGACUUCUUGACUAUCAGAAGACCACUGGUGGUUCAAGAAGGAUUGCACCCCAUCAAGCUUGAAAUAUUUUGCCUUUGGUUUCUUCCCACACGAGCCCAACUUUGGUGGUUGACAAUUUUCUGUCCAUCCCAAGAGCCCUUUUGGUGUAGGACAUGCCACACACAUCCCAUUUUGGCACAAUCCAAAAUUACCACAUUUUGUCGGCAAAGCACAUGCUGUUGCAAGAUCACUUGGAAAGAAAGUAUAGGUCUGCAUCCAUCUAUCAAAUCUGACUUUGUCAUAGUAAGUAUAAGCCUUGACAUUGCCAUCAGUUUCAAGCCUCAGAAAAGAGUACGUUGCAUUGUAAUUUAUUUUACUGAGUUGUUGAAUCCCAUCAACCUGUGGUUUUGGUGCUGGCGAUUCGAAUAUUUCAAAGAUAAGGUUCCAAGCUAUUGGAGUAGGCUCCCACGUCGAAGGUUGGGUGUUAAACCUUACGGUACUUCCAAAAUUCCCCGGCCAACCAUUGUAGCGAACUUGUUGGCCAGCGUUGUUUAGAUACAAGAGGAGGCCAUCAUCUCCAAGCACUAAGCUGUACUUUCCAUCGGAGCCAUCAACAUCAGAAGUUCGACUGACAAGCUUGUUUACGCCACUCUCGCGAAGGGACUGCCCAACUAGUAACGAAUCAACUGGAUAAUCAAAGCUUUGCCAAAUGAACUUUCCCUUUUUAUCAUACAGCACAAG
rnacentral:lncRNA from 1 species